UCUUAUUAAGAGCGGUGGAGGGACUGGCCCUGUGAAGCCCGGCAACCUGCAUUUUGCAAGGUGCCAAAUCCUGCGGAUAUUGUAUCUGAGAAAUGAGG
rnacentral:ncRNA from 1 species